CCCCAGUAUUGGCAAAGUUGUGGUGUACAAGGGGAUUAACUGAAUGAGGUAAUGGUUGGAAGAGGCAUCGCUUGAAAGUAGCCUAGUGGUGAUGUAGGCAUGUGCAGGAGACUACCGUUGUGAUGGAACUAGUGGUGGACCGAUGAAUCAAGUCUUAGACGAUGCCGAGAAGGUGGUUCCAGAUGUCGAGGUAAUACCGGACUGAUAGGAGGACCCCUGGGCUGUGUGGCAGUUGAAGAGUGAGACUCAAGUUCAUUAUUCGUGAACACUUGGCAAACCGAGUACGGAAGGCGCACACGGUACACCGUUGAUGAAGAAGGAAAAGGGAUGGAGCCCGAGGGCAGAGUACUGGACCCAUGAGGUCGAGAGACAUUGCUAGUUACAGCGGGCGCGUUUGUUAUGCACUAGUCAAUAAUUAUUUAUGAAUCAUCGUAAAUAGCUAUAUAAAUAAUUACCAAUAAAUGUUUAUAAUUAUAGUAUUUAUUAUUAUAUAAUAAUAAUAUUAGAUAAAUAAUUAUGUUCAUGUUGUAUUAUUUACCAUUAUAAGUCCCCAAUGUGAGCACGUUUUGUUCCAACGUCAGAAAUACCCUAAAGUACUUGAUCCCUUUGAGAUGUAUAUGUUCAUGUCAAUAAACAUACUUGAAGGUUGCUGUUUAGUUAUUUUUAAAAACCUCAUGUUUGUCUUGUUUUGAGUCACAGGUGACAUGUAUGUAUAUAGUAUAUAUAAACAUGCUUAGAUUGAAAAUGAACGUGUCUUGAGAAUUGCAAAGCAAUGGGUGAAGACGUUUGGGAAAAUAUGUAUUUAGAAGUAAUUAUGUAAUGGGGGAAAAAAACAAUCGAAGAAAGAAUCCUGAAUAUUUAGGAAAAAGAAUA